rnacentral:tRNA from 1 species
UUCCCUGGUGGCUCAGACAGUAAAGAAUCUGCCUGCAAUGCAGGAGACCCGGGUUCAAUCCCUGGGUUGGGAAG